UAACACAAACAUGAUAAUAUAGUCAGGUCAAGGCCGGAGCCGAAGGCCCCAUUUCUCAGCCAGGCAAAUGGUAGACACUCAGACAAUGCACCAGUCAUCCUCAAGAACGGGAGAACCACAACAGGAGAGGCACUGGAUCCCACAUACACCUCAAAGUGCUGGAGGGCGAGGAGCAUAGCCAGGGUUUCCUUCUCGAUGGUAGAGCAGUUAAGCUGAUGGUUUUUGAACUUAACUGAGAAGUAACACACUGGAUGCUGCACAACGCCCUCACCCUCCUGUAGCAACACCGCACCAGCGCCAAAACGAAUUUACAACCUACCGUCCAAAGGCACGAGCCCCCAUGUCAGUGUGCCUUUGAGGCUGCCAAGUCCCUUCUGUGCAGCGCCCCGGUUCUGGCAGCUCCUGACUUUUCGCGUCCCUUUCAGCUGGAGGUUGACGCAAGCGCUGUUUCAGUUUCUGCAGGCGCAGUACCACAGUUUGAAGUUGGAGUGUGAGAGAGGUCCCGGGUUCAUAUCCCAGACGAGCCCCCAUGUCACAUACAAAUGUAUUUAACCAAACUAUAAAUGCACACAGCAUACACUGACUAGGGCUGGCGUGACCUCAGCCCGUACAGCAGGUGCCAAAGCACAGGUCCCGGUAGUAGGAAGGAUCCAAAGCAAACACGUUUUCUAAAGUGAAUAAUAAUAUUUAUUGACUGGAAAGGGAUAAGGGAAAGGGAGAACAAAACAGGAACAACAGUAAGACAAACAAGCACUAAACAAUAACCCACUCAGCUUGAUAAUACAAACUAGUACCACACAAGCAAAUGACUAUCGCCAGGGAAAUCUAAUUUGCCGGGCAAGACCAGCAAGACAACAUAAUGAAGGCUAAAGAGCCUACAAACAAUGGCAUGAAAGCCUACAAAUGCGACCAGUAGUGUCCACAUCAAUGGCGUAGUGCCCAAACACGAUACAACCAGUAUCAACCGUGGAGUACUUUGUCAAAUGUAAUUAUAAUUUGUAACCUCAAACUCUUUUUAUUAAGUUGAUGGAAAAUAGUUUUAUCAGUGCAAUUUAAAGGUACAUGUUUUCUGUGCAUCCUUGUGUAUUUUUAUUUUAUAGGCUGUUCCUUAAUACAGUAGUUAUUCUAGCUAUAUGACAAGGCAGUUUUGUUCUUUCGACAGGUAAAUCUCAUGUUCCAUGCUUUGUUAAGCAAGCCUUUUCCUGUUGGAUUAUGUUUCCCAUCUUCUCUCAGAGCUCUGAAUAUCUAUAUGACUGCAAAACCUGUUAUUACUGAUGUACAAGAAGGAAGCGGCCAAGAAGGCACCCAAGCCCGUGUUGUGUGCCCUAUCUUUGCAGCCAAUUCCAAAAGAUCAUGACUGAAAAAUAAAUCUGGAUUUAGCAAAACAAAAUGAACACUUUGACUGCAGGCAAACACAACGCAGAUUCAGCCGGUCACACUUGGAUCUAUAAAUGCCCGUAAAACAAAGAAAGCCUUGUGUCCGUUGUGGCAUCUCGCCACGGAAGCCUCGGCCUGGACAGGCCCGGGGUACCGUAAAGGACUGGGUAUACCACCCCCACCCACCAGCCGGCGAUGGAGAGCAGCCCAUUCGGCUCCCCAAUCAGGGUGAUUGGGGGACACCUGGCCGAAAGCGGAGGAGCCAUCUUAAGAGGAGGACCAGCACAGCACGGGUCGGGAGCAGGAAGGAAGGGCUCGUGGCAGCGAGAGAGCCUAGAGGCCCACGGAGGCCCUAGAGACCGCGACUCCUUCAUAGUUUGAUUGUUUCACGUUGAUUGUUAAAUAAAUG